CGUUCAGCUUCCUGAGCAGCA
rnacentral:snRNA from 1 species